CAGCCGCCGCGGGAAUACGGAGGGGGCUAGCGUUGUUCGGAAUUACUGGGCGUAAAGCGCACGUAGGCGGCUUUGUAAGUUAGAGGUGAAAGCCUGGAGCUCAACUCCAGAAUUGCCCUUAAGACUGCCGAGCUAGUAGGUGAGAGAGGUAAGUGGAAUUCCGAGUGAAGAGGUGAAAUUCGUAGAUAUUGGGAAGAACACCAGUGGCGAAGGCGGCUCACUGGACAAUAACUGACGCUGAUGCACGAAAGCUAGGGGAGCAAACAGGAUUAGAUACCCCAGUAGUCCCUGUCUCUUAUAC
rnacentral:rRNA from 1 species